rnacentral:rRNA from 1 species
UUCAGAAUCUUGCACAAUGGGCGAAAGCCUGAUGCAGCGAUGCCGCGUGGGUGAAGAAGGCUUUCGGGUCGUAAAGCCCUGUCAGAGGGGAAGAAUAAUGACGGUACCCUCUAAGGAAGCCACGGCUAAUUACGUGCCAGCAGCCGCGGUAAUACGUAAGUGGCGAGCGUUAUCCGGAAUCACUGGGCGUAAAGAGUGCGUAGGCGGCGCAGCAAGUUGGAUUUGAAAGCCCGGGGCUCAACUCCGGAUC